rnacentral:lncRNA from 1 species
AUGAAGCCAAUCUAUAAUUACUGUCUAGGCUUGGAGAAGAGCUCAAAGGACCAUUACCAGUUCACACUACUCUUUUUAUCCAGGAUGGCUGAGAUGUUCAGAAACUCUGCUAACCAGAAGAUCCAACUCACCCCAGCAAGAACAGAACCACAACACAUGAGAAAGGGUGUCUAAUUCUGAAUUUAUUCACUUAAUCACUCUGAGUAAUCAUUUCCUACCAGCUGCGCUUCUUG